GUGGGGAAUCUUAGACAAUGGGGGAAACCCUGAUCUAGCCAUGCCGCGUGAGCGAAGAAGGCCUUAGGGUUGUAAAGCUCUGUUUUAAGGGACGAAUGUCGUGGGGAGUAAUAUGCUCUGCGAAUGACGGUACCUUAAGAGGAAGCCCCGGCUAACUACGUGCCAGCAGCCGCGGUAAGACGUAGGGGGCGAGCGUUGUCCGGAAUUACUGGGCGUAAAGAGCACGUAGGCGGGAACUUAAGUCAGGUGUGAAAGACCGGGGCUCAACUCCGGGGUUGCACUUGAAACUGGGUUUCUUGAGGGCAGGAGAGGAAAGCAGAAUUCCUGGUGUAGCGGUGAAAUGCGUAGAAAUCAGGAGGAAUACCAGUGGCGAAGGCGGCUUUCUGGACUGACCCUGACGCUGAGGUGCGAAAGCGUGGGUAGCAAACAGGAUUAGAUACCCUAGUAGUCC
rnacentral:rRNA from 1 species